rnacentral:rRNA from 1 species
GACAGAGGGUGCAAGCGUUGUUCGGAAUUACUGGGCGUAAAGCGCGUGUAGGCUGCUUCGCAAGUCGGGUGUGAAAGCCCUGGGCUCAACCUAGGAAGUGCACUCGAAACUGCGAAGCUUGAGUCCUGGAGAGGAAGGCGGAAUUCUCGGUGUAGAGGUGAAAUUCGUAGAUAUCGAGAGGAACACCGGUGGCGAAGGCGGCUCACUGGCCCGAUACUGACGCUGAGGCACGAAAGCGUGGGGAGCAAACAGG